GCCUGGGGCUGCCCAGGUCUUGCUGCUUUUCCCUUGGCAGCUCUCAAGUCCGGGGGGCAGAGGGGGGUCUGGGCCAGUUGGGGUCUGCCAGGCCAUCCCCGCAGCCCCCCUCCACCCUACCCCACAGGGACCCCCGCCUCCCAUCUGAGAGGACAGCUCUCUCCCUGGAGUUGGGAUCUGACGCUUGCUGGUACCAACAGCAGAUUUACCAGCAGGAAGAAACUAGAAGAAACUCAGGGAGCAAGGACCCCUGGGGCUUUUCACCGUGGGGCUACUCCGAAGGGCCCGGGGAGACAGUUGGAACACUUCCGGCACCACCGCCCUGUAAGUGCCUCCAUUGUAUCGUUCCUGGGAACUGGCUUCCGGCUGAUGUCAUCUGUAUGCAAAGCAAGAACUUUCCUGCACGGUUUCAGUUCAUCUUCACAAUAACCCUGUAAGGCAUGUGUUGGUCAACAUAGCAAUACUCAUACACUUUACUCACGACAUUGGUUGUACCUGCAGAGCUAUCCUGAGCAGAACUGGCAUUAUUAACCUGUUUUUCACAACAACACAUGGAACUCAAAGUGAUAAAGUUCAACCCAUCACUGUGGGGUGCAGUGGUUAACAUCAAAGUCAUCCUCCAGCCAAGAUGGAAGGAAUCAGGGUCCCUGAGUGAAGGACAAACUCUUCUAUCCUACAUUUUGGAUGUGUUUGUUACACCAGCCAGCAUCACCCUUACUAAUGCAAUACCUGCAUUUGAAUCCUAGCUCUGCCUUUUGAAGUCUGUAGUUUGGGGCCCACCCUCAUGCAAGAGGAGUGUGAGUCGGACAGAAAUGGAAGACAUAGUCCCUGCAUGUAAGCCUCUCAGAAUCUUUUAGGAACAAGACACAUCAUCGAUGAAACAAUCAGAGAAGCCCCAAAACACUUUUCAUAAAGGAUGGAAUGAGCUGCAGUCAAUUGCAAGUAAAAUCUGUGCAGAUUA